GCUGGUGUAGCUCAAUGGGUAGAGCAACUGACUUGUAAUCAGUAGGUUGGGGGUUCAAGUCCUCUCACCAGCA
rnacentral:tRNA from 1 species